rnacentral:rRNA from 1 species
UGGGGAACCUGCCCCAUAGUCUGGGAUACCACUUGGAAACAGGUGCUAAUACCGGAUAAGAAAGCAGAUCGCAUGAUCAGCUUUUAAAAGGCGGCGUAAGCUGUCGCUAUGGGAUGGCCCCGCGGUGCAUUAGCUAGUUGGUAAGGUAAAGGCUUACCAAGGCGAUGAUGCAUAGCCGAGUUGAGAGACUGAUCGGCCACAUUGGGACUGAGACACGGCCAAACUCCUACGGGAGGCAGCAGCU